ACCCCAUCCACGUUAUCGAACCCACAUGACACCAGGAUGUACACGUUUAUAGAGGGGCAACUGAUAUAUCGGAUCAUUAUUUAAUUGUAGCUACUGCUAGAGUAAGAGGUAGAUGGGAAAAGAGGAAAAUGGCAACAACAAGCAAGAGGGAGGUGAAAGUGUAUAAACUAAGGGAGGAUUAUGUUCAGGUGAGAUAUAAGCUGGUGGGCUGGUGCAAAUAUUAGUAGUUAGGGGGUUGAAGAGGGUUGGAAUAGUUUUAAAAAUGCAGUAAUAGAAUGUGGGGCAGAAGUUUGUGGUUAUAGGAGAGUGGGUGCAGGAGGAAUGAGGAGUGAUUGGUGGAAUGAUGAAGUAAAGGGUGUGAUAAAAGAGGAAAAGUUAGCUUAUGAGAGGUUUUUACAAAGCAGAAGUGUUAUAAGAAGAAUAGAGUAUAUGGAGAGCAAAAGAAAGAUGAGAGUGGUGAGAGAGUGCAAAAGAAGAGCAGAUAAUAGAAUAGGAGAGGCACUGUCAAGAAAUUUUAAUGAAAAUAAGAAAAAAUUUUGGAGUCUGUUAAACAAGUUAAGAAAGCCUAGAGAAUGAAUUGAUUUGUCAGUUAAAAACAGAGUAGGGGAGUUAGUAGAUGGGGAGAUGGAGGUUUUGGGUAGAUGGCGAGAAUAUUUUGAGGAACUUUUAAAUGUUGACGAAGAAAGGGAAGCGGUAAUUUCAUGCACUGGCCAGGGAGGUAUGCUGUGGAAAUUUAUUCUGUCCUAAAGUUCCACAGGGCCAAUACGUCGUACAAAGAUCCCAGCAUGUCAUGGAUGGAACGGCUGGGUUGGGUGGCCCUUACACCCACCCAAAACACACACACACACACACACCCGGGUUGGCGAGGGUGGUUGGAAGGUACUUCUUAAUUGAUAGAUUUACCCUUCAAGGAAGAGUUUUGUGUCCCUUGCUGGAUUAUCUAUUGAUCACAAGAUUCUCUGGGAUCCCCAUGUUGGAGAGUUAUGGUCGGAAAAAGUGGGGUACUUCACCUCAGUACCAAGCCUAUGUCAAGAACACACCACCUCUGGUACCCUUCAUUGGUUAAUCCAAGUUAUAGUGUUCAGUUAGUGAAAAAUUACUGUGAUUUAUUAAUGAAAACAGAGUACUGUAAUUAGAACAUUAAAAAUUUUUCAGUAGGCAGA